rnacentral:lncRNA from 1 species
GGGGAGGAAGGCAGAUGCAAUCCUCAGAAUGAUGGUAAGUGGAGACCUCAGGAUGACAACUGGGCAGCCCCCCAAAUUGAAAGAAGUCAACAGGAGGAACUUUAUCAAGAAGAUCAAAUGGAUAAGAAAAAACUAAUAUUCGAGCUUCUGCCCCUGGGAGAGCAGAAGGUAGAGGACCUGGAGGCUCGAGUGUGUGAUCAGCUUCUCAGUUGCACGAUUCAUACAUUUCUGGUUGCCAAGGGAGGAACGUGCAGCGUCCAGCGUGAACCAGUGGGAUAUACAGAUUUUCCGACCCCAGCUUCCUUCAUGUCUACGACUUCCAUUGAUAUCUGCAAAUUCAGGAAUAUUCUGGAAAAAGACAUUGGUACACUGGAGACACCACCUCUCCUCCCUUGCUCUACCUCCUGCAGCCAGAAUCCAGCAAGAUGCAUUUAUUAGCAUUCUCAGCAGGCUGAAGAGUCCUGGGACCAGAAGGGGAACAGAACGCCUGCCCAGAACGCCUGCCCUCAGGCAUAACAUUGUAGCUCCCCAAAGCUAAGGAUACGC